UAGGCAUUCAUUUUGAUGGUAAGAUAUGAAAACGUGUGUGUGUGUGUGUGUGUGUGUGUGUGGCAGUGGCUUCUGCUGAACUAGAAAGAAAAAAACUGGGAGGAGACGGUUUCAUCGCAGCCAGCGGAGGCUGUGGAUCAACGCAUGAUGAACGACCUUCGAAGCAACCGGAGCCAACGAGAGGAGAAGACGAAAGAGACCGCCCUUUGAGCUUAAAGGGGGCUCCUGAUUGGAUAGUCUGUCCUCAAACUCAGUCAGUAAGAGCUCCCCAGCUGUGAGAUCAGGGUCCAUGUGCUCGCAUGCCCGUCUCCAUUUGACCCGGCCCACGCCGUCUUCGGGGCAGCGUUUGCUUUUCCCGUGUCUUCCUGAGGACUCUUCUGUUGUGGGUUGAUCGGCCUCAGCCACCGAAUCUUCCAGUUACCAGUGUUGGGAAAAUUACUUCGAAAAAGUUCCUGGUAGGCGGAGUCAGUGACGACCUCUGGAGGUCAGAGGUCAUGGAGUCCAGGUGAUGACCUGGAUGGCGGUCUGAGUGGCCCGCCGGAUGUCCUGGUCCUCCUCCGCAGCCUCAGCCUUCUUCUCCAGCAGGGGGAGCUGCUCCAGGAGGAGGCAGCGGCCGUUAGGAGCCUCAGCCAAUGAGCAGACCGACGAGGACAGGAAGGACCUCGGCAUCCUCGCAGACCUGUCGCUUCCCGUCCAUGGGAACGCUGUAACCAGCAGACAAACAGUCGGUUAAACCAGCAC